AACCUUAUGUGCUUUGGGGUGCUAACUAUAGUUUUAAAAAAUAAGUUAUACUUAGAAAUACUUCCCAGUAUAUUUAAUAUGAGCUAAUUUGCAGUGUUACAGUACUUAGUUAUAUGCUUUAUUUGGGGGUGUUACUCAGUAUGUGGGUUAUGUGCUGGGUUUGGGGGUGUUACUCAGUAUGUGGGUUAUGUGCCGGGUUUGGGGGUGUUACUCAGUAUAUAGGUUAUGUGCUCGGUUUGGGGGUGUUACUCAGAAUGUGGGUUAUGUGCUCGGUUUGGGAGUGUUACUCAGUAUGUGGGUUAUGUGCUCGGUUUGGGGAUGUUACUCAGUAUGUGGGUUAUGUCCUUGGUUUGGGGGGUGUUACUCAGUAUGUGGGUUAUGUGCUCGGUUUGGGGAUGUUACUCAGUAUGUGAGUUAUGAGCUUGGUUUAGGGGUGUUAAUCAGUAUGUGGGUUAUGAGCUCGGUUUGGGGGUGUUACUCAGUAUGUGGGUUAUGUGCUGGGUUUGGGGGUGUUACUCAGUAUAUAGGUUAUGUGCUCGGUUUGGGGGUGUUACUCAGAAUGUGGGUUAUGUCCUUGGUUUGGGGGGUGUUACUCAGUAUGUGGG